rnacentral:rRNA from 1 species
AUUGAACGCUGGCGGCAUGCUUUACACAUGCAAGUCGAACGGUAACAGGCCGCAAGGUGCUGACGAGUGGCGAACGGUGAGUAAUGCAUCGGAACGUGCCCAGUCGUGGGGGAUAACGCAGCGAAAGCUGUGCUAAUACCGCAUACGAUCUAUGGAUGAAAGCGGGGGACCGUAAGGCCUCGCGCGAUUGGAGCGGCCGAUGUCAGAUUAGGUAGUUGGUGGGGUAAAGGCCUACCAAGCCGACGAUCUGUAGCUGGUCUGAGAGGACGACCAGCCACACUGGGACUGAGACACGGCCCAGACUCCUACGGGAGGCAGCAGUGGGGAAUUUUGGACAAUGGGCGCAAGCCUGAUCCAGCAAUGCCGCGUGCAGGAAGAAGGCCUUCGGGUUGUAAACUGCUUUUGUACGGAACGAAACGGUCCGGGUUAAUACCCUGGGCUAAUGACGGUACCGUAAGAAUAAGCACCGGUUAACUACGUGCCAGCCGCCGCCGUAACAC